UACGGAGGGUGCAAACGUUGCUCGGAAUCAUUGGGCGUAAAGCGCACGUAGGCGGACCAUCAAGUCGGAUGUGAAAUCCCUCGGCUUAACUGAGGACGUGCAUUCGAAACUGAUGGCCUUGAGUACGAAAGAGGAUCGCGGAAUUCCCGGUGUAGAGGUGAAAUUCGUAGAUAUCGGGAGGAACACCAGUGGCGAAGGCGGCGAUCUGGGUCGAUACUGACGCUGAGGUGCGAAAGCGUGGGGAGCAACAGG
rnacentral:rRNA from 1 species